ACGGCAUCACGUAUUGUAGCUUGCUCUCUUGGUGGCGAGUGGCGGACGGGUGAGUAAUAUAUCGGAACGUGCCCAGUAGCGGGGGAUAACUACUCGAAAGAGUGGCUAAUACCGCAUACGCCCUACGGGGGAAAGGGGGGGAUCGCAAGACCUCUCACUAUUGGAGCGGCCGAUAUCGGAUUAGCUAGUUGGUGGGGUAAAGGCUCACCAAGGCAACGAUCCGUAGCUGGUUUGAGAGGACGACCAGCCACACUGGGACUGAGACACGGCCCAGACUCCUACGGGAGGCAGCAGUGGGGAAUUUUGGACAAUGGGGGAAACCCUGAUCCAGCCAUCCCGCGUGUAUGAUGAAGGCCUUCGGGUUGUAAAGUACUUUUGGCAGAGAAGAAAAGGCAUCCCCUAAUACGGGAUGCUGCUGACGGUAUCUGCAGAAUAAGCACCGGCUAACUACGUGCCAGCAGCCGCGGUAAUACGUAGGGUGCAAGCGUUAUCGGAAUUACUGGGCGUAAAGCGUGUGUAGGCGGUUCGGAAGAAAGAUGUGAAAUCCCAGG
rnacentral:rRNA from 1 species